GAACGAGGCCCACAGAAUUCAGGUCAGACCAGGUCAUUCUGCUUGAAACGCUCCAGUGGCUUUGCCAUCAUUCGUUGUAAGCCAGCGUCCAUAGAGUGGCCUGUAGACAGAGUGACCAUGUAAUUCAUCAUCCAAACCAGGACAUUUUUGGGAGUGAAAGGGGUGCUUAAAAUAAUUAAAAUUAUAUAAUUUUUGAUAUAUUUAUUGACCAACACUGGUUUUAUUAUAUUGGAGAACCUAUGAAAAGGCUUAUCAAAAACUAUUUACAGGGCCGGCUCCGUGGCUUGGCGGUUA